UCCCNNAUAGCUCAGUUGGUAGAGCACGACCUUGCCAAGGUCGGGGUCGCGAGUUCGAGUCUCGUUUCCCGCUCCA
rnacentral:tRNA from 1 species